AUUUAAGUAGCUUAAAGAUAGAGAGCAUAAUAUUGAAGCUAUUAAAGUGGUUAAUUAACCCUUAAAUA
rnacentral:tRNA from 1 species